UACGGAGGGGGCUAGCGUUGUUCGGAAUUACUGGGCGUAAAGCGCGCGUAGGCGGACCUGCAAGUCGGGGGUGAAAGCCCGAGGCUCAACCUCGGAAUUGCCUUCGAUACUGCGGGUCUCGAGUCCGGGAGAGGUGAGUGGAAUUCCUAGUGUAGAGGUGAAAUUCGUAGAUAUUAGGAAGAACACCAGUGGCGAAGGCGGCUCACUGGCCCGGUACUGACGCUGAGGCGCGAAAGCGUGGGGAGCAAACAGGG
rnacentral:rRNA from 1 species